AUAGCCUCCCAAGUAGAGCUGGGAUUACAGGUGCCCGCCACCAUAUCUGGCUAAUUUUUUGUGUUUUUAGUAGAGACUGGGUUUCACCAUGUUGGCCAGGCUGGUCUCAAACCCUGAUCUCAGGUGAUUCACCCACCUCAGCCUCCCAAAGUCCUGGAAUUACAGGUGUGAGCCACCGUACCCAACCCCACCUAAUCUUUUAGAAUAUUUCACCUACACCUCAUUUAAUGGCAAUUUUAAAAUCUCACCAAAAUGAAUCUUGACAAGCAUUCAAUCUAAUUGUGAUAGAAUCAACAACAGCAUACUCAUAUUCUAUGGGUUUCAUAAUAGCUAAUUGAAUUAUGUAAUUAUAAGAACUAGCACAGCUGUCAUGAAACACAGGGAAACAAACACAACUGAUCCUGAUAAGCAUAAUUCAAGUGGUGGGAGCCGAAGUUUGCUGGCAUUUAGACUAGAAUUUAGCCUACUAGUCCUAAGGGUUUAGUCUACCGGGGAACUUUUUAUUAAGUAGAAAUACAUGAAAAUGCUGGUUAUUCUAGCAUUUCUUGACCCACAAAACCAGCGAUUUAAUAUGAUUCAACCAGUAUGUUUUAUAGAGUGAUGACAAGCUGGUCUGGUGAGUUAGUUAAAUGCAGGUCAGCUAAGGCUGCUUCUAUUAUAAUAUUCAAAGAGCAGAGCUGUUUUUCAACAUCGUGCUUCCUCUUUAAGUGUUUUGAACUGCACUUAUUAAUGGUGCUUAUUCUUCUGCCAAGCAUUUUACAAAGAAUUUUCCUGUAACCUCAAAAGAAAAGUCCCCACAACCCCGCCAAAUAUGCUAUGGUUGAAUAGGUUUGGGAAACACUAUAUACCAUAGCCACCUAGAAGAUUCAUAAUGAUCAUUAGCAUAUUAAAGGCUCUGAGAAGUCCUGUAGCAAAGCCUUUGUUUAACUCUGUUUACCUUAGAGUUUCAUAAUUUAUUUCACAAAAGUAGGCCGUUUCAUGUAACAUCUAAUCCUGAAGAGCUAAUGUUUAAUGAAACAACCACACUUUGGUAAACACUACUCAACCAGCAUUAAGGAAAGUAUUAUUCAGACUUUGUAGUAGAUUAAACAAAUAUCAUCUUAAUAUCUGUUAGAAACAGCACAAUUUGUGCAGGUGUCCCAAAGCACUAUACAAAUUUCAUUUCGUGGUAAUGUUCCCCCCUUGUACAAAUAGAAAAACAAAGGUAUAAAGAGGCAUUAGAUUGCUUGCCAGAAUACACACAAGAUUGAGACAAACUGGAACCAAGGCCCACAUGUCCUAACAAUGAUUUCUCAUCUGUGUUUACAAACAGAACCAAAUUGCAAAUUGUAGCCACUAGCCACUUAACUAUUGAAGAGUUAAGGUAAAAAGUAUACUCCUUGAGCCAGAAAGAGCAAAUAAGACUGGGGAACUCUAGGAGAAUGUAACAUUGGCUGUUUAGUUGCUGGUGACUUUCAUCAAUAAUUGAGAGCAGGGACUCUAAAAUUUCCAACAGCUACAGGGAUUCAAAGAUUGGCUGUCUUAGCUCAAAAGCUUCUUGAAGAAAACAUGACAUGAAUAUUUGGCUCUCUGUUGGAGAGAUUCCGACCUUGAGAGAAUGAAUCUCAGUCAUCUAGAAGGUUAAAUAGAUUUAUGUGUUCUGAUGCUCGUUAGAGUAAUGGGUGUUUCCCAGCAUUUUAGAAUUGCAUGCUACGUGACAUGCUAAUAACUUUUACAGCAUGCCUGCCCAUUCCCUCUGCCUGGGUGGGAGGUGUGGAGCGGUGAUGUGAGACUUAACAGUCAGAUUUAUAGACGUCUUUGCUCCAUAAGUGUUAUCUUUGAAUACACUCCCACACCACAGGGCCUCAUUGCCUCUGUCACAAACAAUAUCUGUUAUUUCAGAACACUGCAAUGCUUACCUCAAGGCCAAGCGAGAGUUGUCAAAUAAAGAUGAAGAGCCUUUUGGCAAAAAAAUAAAAAAUAAAAGAGUGCUCUUAAAAUGUUUACCUUCUCAUACCUAAUGGUUUUAGAUCAUAUCUUAUUAGUCUAGGAGACCAUUAUAUAAAGUACAAUUAAGAUCUCCUUGACAUUUUCUAGGAGUUCCAAUUCAGCUUUGCUAAUAGCUAUAACUUCAUUACUUUCUUUUUUUAAAAAUGUAAUGCCACACAGUGUUGGAAAUGCAGUUUACAAUAAUGUGGAUACCCAGGGUGCACUUGCAGUAAUUACACAGAAUGUCAACAGCCUCUCAAGCUGGGUCCUGCGCUGAUUGCUUUUUGUGACAUUCUAGUUUGGGCAACUUGUUGGAAUUACUCUUCUACCUGCAGGCUCCUUCUUCUCCAAGACUAUGCAAUAAGUGUUCUCCAAACUUUUGGUUUGAUCCCUUCUAUUGAGUUUUAUAGUACCCAAAUUAUAGGAAGAAAUUUGAGCUAGGCAUAAGAAUAGAAUAAUUGUUCGCAUAGCCAGUAUCCCACCCAGACAAUCGGCAACUUUUGUUUUUUUGCUUUGGUUUGGUUUUACUGAGACAGAGUCUCUCACUUCAUCAACCAGGAAUGGAGUGCAGUUCUGUGAUCCUGGUUCAUUGCGACCUCCGCCUUCCUGGUUCAAGCUAUUGUCAGGCCUUGGCCUCCUGAGUAGCUGGGAUUACAGGCACGUGCCACCACACCUGGCUAAUUUUUCGUGUUUUUAGUAGAGAUGGAGUUUCACCAUGUUGACCAGUCUGGUCUUGAACUCCUGACCUCAAGUGAUCCACCUGCCUCGGCCUUCCAAAGUACCGGGAUUACAGGCAGCAACUUUUCUUCAAGAAAUAUCUAUUGAGCAUCUGUUAUAUUCAGCCCCAUUCUAGGCACUGAAGACACCAAGCUGAAUAAGUCUCUUGCUGUCAUUUGCAUGUGUUGAAGUAGGAGGAUUCAGACACAUCUUUCCACACAUGGAAGGAUUUCUGCACAGAAAAGACGUCCCGUAAGGGUUAAAAGUUGAACCAUAAAGUUCUAUGCCCUACCCUUUUCCCUUUACAUUCUUUCCUCUGUGGCCUUGUGCUCUCCAGACCUCUCAUUAUCAGUAGGCUUAAUGUGGCUCGCUAUUUGGUAAAUAAGCAAAUAGCUAACAUUUAUGGAGUGCCCACUCUCUACCAGUUCUAUUAUAGCCUCUUCUAUAUACAAUUCAUUUCAUCCUGACAAUAAAUCUAUAUGGCAGAUAUGAUUAUCUACCUUUUUAGAUGUGAGGAAACUGAGGCACAGAGAGAUUAAGUGUCUCACACCUAAUGAGUGGAGAAUCUGAAGUCUGAACCUUGAUUAUUUGCAGUCAAAGACCCUGCCACUGCUCUGCCAUUAGGAGGGAAGUCCUGAUAAGGAAUCGUGAUGGUAAAUUAAACAACAUAGUCCCCAGAAUGCGACUAAUGCGUGUCAUAAAACCAGGAUAGCUGAAAAUAAACAGGGUCUGGACAGAAAUAGAAGCAAGACUUUUCUCUUACUACAUCUGCUUAAGUACUUAUGGCACCAGUUCCUCUGAACUGAGGAAUAAGGGCUAAAACAAGAACAGCCCUGUUUGUGAUCUGCUAUUGUUCGAAACAUACUAAGGCUUAGGUUAACUGCUCGGUGUAGCUACGUUGCCACCAUAGGAAUGGGGCAUUCCGUUGAACUAACUGAUUUUGUUCUAUUUAUAAAGUCCUGAAAUAAAGGGAUGUUUUUCAGAAUUAUUAAAGUAGAAGCCUGAGCAGGUAAGCUGAGCCCCACCUCACGUCUGCUGCCAGAGCUCAGCGGUGUGAAGCGGGCAGAUGAGAAAAGUCACACCUCUUGCAGAAUCCAAUUAAAUCAGACUCCUCCAUUUUCCUUGUAUGACAUACUAUUUUGAUAAUAAAUUAAAAACAGGAAGCCAAAAGAGGGUUCAAAUUACCUUAUGCUCCCAGCAUACUAAGGGAGGAUGCACCUUUGGGAAUGCCUGAAGCAGUUAUUUCUGAGACACUCAUUAUAUUUCAGUCAGUUUGGAAUAUGGGAAGAAGGAGUCAGUGAGCUGACAGGUUAACUGCUCAGGUUAGCACUAGAUCUCAGAAAGUGCUACACCAGACACGGGGAGGUGUUAUGCCACUGAUCACAGAGAUACCCUUCCUGUUACCCAAGAAGCACAGUCAUGCUCAAGGCCAGGAUCGCUGGGGCUGCUGUAAUAAAGUACCACAGGCCGGUGCAGAGAAUCACCAGGAGGAGGAGGUUGCAGUGAGCCGAGAUUGCACCAUUGCACUCCAGCCUGGGCAACAAAGCUAGACUCUGACCUCCCCUCCUAAAAAAAGUACCACAAACUAGAUGGCAACAGAAGUUUACAGUCUCACAAUUCUGGAGUCUGAAAGUCUAAAAUCAAGGUGUCAAGAGUUAGUUUCCCUGAGAGGGACAGGUCUCUCAAAGGCCUUUCCCCUUGAGCUUGUAGAUGGCUAUCUUCUCCUUAUUGUUUCUCCCUAUUUCUGUGUCCAAGUUUCCCCUUUUUAUAAAACCACCAGUUAUAUUGGACCUGAGCUCAUCCUAAAGGCCUCAUUUUAACUUGAUUACCUCUGUAAAAAUCCUAUCUGUCAAUAUGGUCACAUUUCCAGGUACUGGGUGUUAAGAUUCCAACAUGUCUUUUUUGGGGCAGGGUCGCAAUUCAACCCAUAACAAUUUAAUCUCAGACUCUUCAGAAAUGAGAUGUAUUAGGCCCGUUGUGGAGCCCAGGAUUCUGGAUGCUUAUAAAGCAUCCUGUUUGGCAUUUAAUCCUGAGGAUCACGUGUGGUUGAGAACCAACCUUGGGCUGAUGAAUGAAAACAAGAAAAAUCAACACAGGAUGUGCCUGACCCUAGACAGUGUAACUUGUAAUAUUGACUUUCUCUCCUAGCUGAGAGGUGUUCUGCGUCUCUCCUACACGUGUGACUCCAGGAAGGAAAAGGACACCUUGCCGGGUGUCCCCAUCCUGAACUUCUAUUCCCAUUGACUGUGGCCAUCCCUCUACACUCUGGAGCAGUGCUGAAAAGAGAGAUGCAGCAGAGAAAUGCCACAGAAAGGGAAGAUGGAGAGAUUCAAAGUGUGAGAGGAAUUCAGCCUGCUGUCGCUGGAAGGAUUCCCGAUGGAACACAUGAGAAGAAACCUAUGUAGCAUCUAGGAGCAAAGACUCACCCCUGGCUGACCUCAUUCCAGAGGCUGCUAAGACCAAGAUCAAGGUGCCAGCAGAUCCAGUGCCUGGCUCUUCUUGCUGCCUGAAAGGGCCUGCCCACCAUUCUCCACCUGGCUAACUCUCACACAUGGCUCAGGACUCAAGUUACCGGUAGCCUCCCCAUGAAACCUUCAGUUAUUCUCCAUUGCCCCCCCCAUUCUCUCUCUGCCUUAAAAUGCACGUACGUGAAAUUAUUGAAACUCUCCUACACUGUAAGACGAAGAACAGAGACUAUAUUUUAUCCAUUUUGUUUCACUACCAUGGUGUCUGGUGCAUGGUGUGGAUUUAAUUAAAGUUUAUGGAACUGAAUACCGAAAGCAAAUGGUAAAUGCGUCAUUUAGAAUAUAUUCAACAAAUAUUUAAGGAAUAAUCUCACAAAGUGAAGAAGAAAAUUACUGGGGGUGGGAGAGGACACAUGUGACAUAUUCAUUGUUCCAGGUCAUACAAUAGUAAGAAUCAUUGCCAUUUCUCAAACACUAACCAUUUGCCAGAAAUAUCACUAAGUAUUUCACAUGGGUUACAUUUAAUCCUCCCAACUCCAAGAGGUGGAAACCAUUAUUAUCUUCAUUUUAUAAAUGAGGAACUGAGGCUUACAGAGUUUAAGUGAUUUUCCUAAAGACUCAAAGCCAAAAGGGGCUCCAAAGCUUCUGCUUUGACUAUGGGAGGAUGCUGCUUCCUGACACCUACCCCCCAAUUCCCCCCUGCCACAAAAAAAAAGGGAGCAAGACAUAUUGCUCAUUUUUUUAAAGAAGAGAAGAUACAAAUGGUAACUCUCAAGGGCCUGAGUAAAUGUUAGUUGAAAGUUAAUUGCAUGUGCUUCAGAAAUAAAUGUGGGAACAUCUGAAAUGUGUAAAUAACAAUAAGAUUGCAAAGUAAGAAGGACCAUUUGGAUUACAAUAAGGAAACGAUAAUAUUCCCUGCUGACAGUGAGCUGGGGGUGUGUCCAAAGGAAGUUGGGAGGUCUUGUCAGGAGGCCCUUGGUGCAGUCCACUGGAACGUUCUUAACACAGGAUGUGAG